rnacentral:lncRNA from 1 species
UUUGUUGGAAGAAGUGAAAAAAAGUCUAAGGCAGGCUGAAUAUGUGUGCUCCACUUCUCUGCCUCUGAAUGGCAAAGCAAAGAACGGCGCUUUGAACAUUUUGACCAGACACAUGGCUCUACCUUGUGGCAUGGCAGAAGAUUCUGAUGCGGUCAGAGCUUUGCAGCAGUGGUGAUUGUGUGGAAAAGCUGUGUCCAGCUUUGAGGGGCUCAAGAGCAUUUGUCAUUGCUUGGGUUCUCAUCCAUCACUCUGUCAAGUCCCAGAUCAUAGAGGUUCCUCCCUCUUCUGGGUCAUGAUGAGGCUUCACUCUACUCUGGGCACUUGGCUCUUCACACUCCUAGUGAUGCCAGUCUACUGCCAGAGUGGUGAUGAUGGAGAGUGGGGAUCAGGGGACGUCUCUGGGACUGCGGUCACUGGCAACUCCUCCGCUUCAGUCUUCCAUGCAGUCGGGGAUGAGCCAGACAGGACCAGGCCAGUUUUUCAGAGCCUGUCAGAGACAGAAGGUGGCGACUGUUAUGUCAACUUCCACACCAGCCAAGUCAUGUCAAGGCGGUUACGAGCUUUCAGAGAGGAAGUUGCUUAUUUAAAGGCCCUUCAACAUGGGAACCAGGCAGUGAUGGAGAAUAUUGUCCAGUUUGUAGGAGCAGAGAUGGGAGAUCAAUGCUACGAGGAGGUGAUCCAAGAGAACAUUGUUGGAAUCAGAGAGGAUCACGUGAGCUGUGAGAGCGUGGUGACAAAAGCAGCAGAGGAGUUGGAGAGUCAGCUGGAGGGAGACGCUCAAGCCACUUUGGCUGGAAUUCAGAAAAUAAAAGAGGAGUCCCUUGCCUUUGAAGAAAUGCUGCGUACCGCGACGGACAUCGCCACUCGACUGGAGAGCUCCUCACAAACCCUGCAUGUGGAGAUGAUCGAACAGCUGAGGAAGAACAUGAGACAGCCACGCAAAACUAAAUGAGUCAGUGGGAAGCCCUCCAACCUGGAAAAACAGAUGAAAGUGUUAUAUGGCAUGUCACAUCUAUAUUUAUCCACAAUGUUUUAAUAACAGUAAAACAAUGUUGUCACCUUAAACAGUCCAUAUGUGGACCAUUUGACUGCAUUUUUUUAUAUUUUAUCUCCCUUGCCUACUAUGUUUUUAAAAACACUAUUGUCAGAGAAUAGACUGAAACGCAAACUAUAUUUUUUUCUCUUGUUCGAUGUUCAUUUGUGAGACAUAAUGAAAACAUAAUGGCUUUGUGUACAAGGAAAUUUUAAAAAUGAUCUUGGCAGUGAGGUGACAUCUUAAAAGAAUAGUCUCUUUCCAAGUACAGACAACCCUGCAGCUAUGGUCUGGCUGUCUUGGCGCUAGGGAGCAGAUGGUGAAAAUACUGUAUGAGGGUCUGGAAAUCAGCAAGCAUGAACUCUUAUACGUUGGAGAGAGAGAGAGCAAGACAGAAAAGAAAAAAGAAAGAAAAAAAAGAUGGCAGUGAUGUCACUGAGAAAUAAAUAAAAACGUGACUUGGCAGCUUGGAGCCAGAAUCUAAAAGAAUCAGAAGAAAGAAUCUGAAAUGUUUACGACUGGAGAAUGUUAUUUUAAAAUAUAUUGUGAUU